rnacentral:lncRNA from 14 species
ACCAGAGUUCAUCAGCCAAAAGACAGCAAAUUCUCCAUGCAGAGGAUGGGCAUAACAACAGAGAAGCAAAACAGCAGGGAAGGGAGUCCAUGGAAAGACAGGCCCACUGUUCUAUGAACAUUUCUUCAGGUGCCAAAGCUGAGCUUUUGGAAGUAAGGAGCAGAAGGUACCUGAUGGAACAUGACGACAAGUCUUAGCUGGAGCAAUAGCAAUUUCUAAAGGGGAUUUCAGUUUAGUAAAAGCAUAUUAUAGGCAUGUUCAAGGGCAUUUUUAAAGAUGCAGAGGUGGUUCUUGGGCUUACAGUGAGAUUCAGAUUUCCCUGCCUGACUGUAGCUCUAGAACAUCAGUGAGACAGACAACCCUCUUUCCCAAAAGUAGUGAAAUGAGUGAAAAGUGUUGGAACAAGUCCAGAGGAGGGCCACAAGUAUGAUCGGGGGGCUGGAGCACCUCCCCGUAUGAAGACAGGCUGAGAAAGUUGGGGCUGUUCA